GUUUGCCUACGGGGGGCAGCAGUAGGGAAUCUUCCACAAUGGACGAAAGUCUGAUGGAGCAACGCCGCGUGAGUGAAGAAGGGUUUCGGCUCGGAAAACUCUGUUGGUAGGGAAGAAAGAUAGAGGUAGUAACUGGCCUUUAUUUGACGGUAAUUACUUAGAAAGUCACGGCUAACUACGUGCCAGCAGCCGCGGGAAUACGUAGGUGGCAAGCGUUGUCCGGAUUUAUUGGGCGUAAAGCGAGUGCAGGCGGGUCAAUUAAUGU
rnacentral:rRNA from 1 species